rnacentral:tRNA from 3 species
GGUCACAUAGCUCCAAUUGGUUAGAGCAGCCGGGGUGCUAACCCGGAAGGUUUGCGAGUUCGAGUCUCGCUGUGAUCACCA